rnacentral:rRNA from 1 species
UACAGAGGGGGCAAGCGUUGUUCGGAAUUACUGGGCGUAAAGCGCGCGUAGGCGGCUUUUCAAGUCGAUUGUGAAAUCCCCGGGCUUAACCUGGGAACUGCAGUCGAGACUGUCUAGCUAGAGUAUGGGAGAGGGAAGUGGAAUUUCAGGUGUAGCGGUGAAAUGCGUAGAUAUCUGAAGGAACAUCAGUGGCGAAAGCGACUUCCUGGACCAAUACUGACGCUCAUGUGCGAAAGCGUGGGGAGCAAACAGG